AGCAGUAGCAAUUUUAGUACCAUCCGGGGACCAUCGACAAACGCGAAUACCGGAUCCCGAAUUUACGAAAGAAGAUUUUGCUUGACAGCCGUCCUAUGAGAAAUUAAGUAAUAAAAGAGCAUCACUAACAUAUUCCAGAUAACAACAGUUCCAUCUAAAGAACAGGAGGCAAGCAUACGACCACAAGGACUAAAUUCUACGUGAUUUAUGCUAUAUUUAUGACCGUCUAAUGGACUGUAAGAUUUUUCUUGAAAUUUCAUGGUAAUUUCGGAAUCUGUUUCUUCUUCGCUUUCAAUAGUCCAAAUUCGUAUUGAUUUAUCCCUAUUACAUAUUUAAUAUAAUUAUUUAAUGAUAUAGAUUGGUUUAAAAUCUGCCGAUUUGGUUGAAAUUUUGUAAAUAACUUCAUUUUAUAUAAAAACAACGUUUGCGAGAAGGAUUUUUGGCGAUUCGAAAGUUAAAACUCAAAAUUUUGUGAAAAGUGUUCUAUUAUUUUAGUAUCAACAUCAUCACUAUAUAAUACACGCAGAAUAAGAUCAUAAUAAUAAUCAUAAUCAGUAUUUAUUUUAAGAGAAAAAAUCUAAAAAAUUUUAACAAAUCGGGCAUGAUAAGUUUUCGGAAAUUUUGAUGAUUAUGUAUAUUUUAAUAAAAAAAAGAUAAUAUAGCAA